rnacentral:rRNA from 1 species
UACGGGGGGGGCAAGCGUUGUUCGGAAUUACUGGGCGUAAAGGGCUCGUAGGUGGCCAACUAAGUCGGACGUGAAAUCCCUCGGCUUAACCGGGGAACUGCGUCCGAUACUGGUUGGCUUGAGUUUGGGAGAGGGAUGCGGAAUUCCAGGUGUAGCGGUGAAAUGCGUAGAUAUCUGGAGGAACACCGGUGGCGAAGGCGCUCAUCUGGCCCAAUACUGACGCUGAGGCGCGAAAGCGUGGGGAGCAAACGGG